UGGGGAAUUUUGACAAUGGGCGAAAGCCUGAUCCAGCAAUGCCGCGUGUGUGAAGAAGGCCUUCGGGUUGUAAAGCACUUUUGUCCGGAAAGAAAUCCUUGGCUCUAAUACAGUCGGGGGAUGACGGUACCGGAAGAAUAAGCACCGGCUAACUACGUGCCAGCAGCCGCGGUAAUACGUAGGGUGCAAGCGUUAAUCGGAAUUACUGGGCGUAAAGCGUGCGCAGGCGGUUUGCUAAGACCGAUGUGAAAUCCCCGGGCUCAACCUGGGAACUGCAUUGGUGACUGGCAGGCUAGAGUAUGGCAGAGGGGGGUAGAAUUCCACGUGUAGCAGUGAAAUGCGUAGAGAUGUGGAGGAAUACCGAUGGCAAGGCAGCCCCCUGGGCCAAAUACUGACGCUCAUGCACGAAAAGCGUGGGGAGCAAAACAGGAUUAGAUACCCCUGGUAGUCCACGCCCCUAAAACGAUGUCAACUAGUUGUUGGGGAUUCAUUUCCUUAGUAACGUAGCUAACGCGUGAAGUUGACCGCCUGGGGAGUACGGUCGCAAGAUUAAAACUCAAAUG
rnacentral:rRNA from 1 species